rnacentral:rRNA from 1 species
GAUGAACGCUGGCGGCGUGCCUAAUACAUGCAAGUCGAGCGAACAGACGAAGAGCUUGCUCCUCUGACGUUAGCGGCGGACGGGUGAGUAACACGUGGAUAACCUACCUAUAAGACUGGGAUAACUUCGGGAAACCGGAGCUAAUACCGGAUAAUAUAUUGAACCGCAUGGUUCACUAGUGAAAGACGGUUUUGCUGUCACUUAUACAUGGAUCCGCGCCGCAUUAGCUAGUUGGUAAGGUAACGGCUUACCAAGGCAACGAUGCGUAGCCGACCUGAGAGGGUGAUCGGCCACACGGGAACUGAGGCACGGUCCAGACUCCUACGGGAGGCAGCAGUAGGGAAUCUUCCGCAAUGGGCGAAAGCCUGACGGAGCAACGCCGAGUGAGUGAUGAAGGUCUUCGGAGCGUAAAACUCUGUUAUUAGGGAAGAACAAAUGUGUAAGUAACUAUGCACGUCUUGACGGUACCUAAUCAGAAAGCCACGGCUAACUACGUG